rnacentral:tRNA from 1 species
GGAGAGGUGGCCGAGCUGGUUGAAGGCGUUAGUCUCGAAAACUAAUAUACGGGCAACCGUAUCGGGGGUUCGAAUCCCCCCUUCUCCG